rnacentral:rRNA from 1 species
UGUAACAAGGUCUCCGUUGGUGAACCAGCGGAGGGAUCAUUACCGAGUUUACAACUCCCAAACCCCUGUGAACAUACCACUUGUUGCCUCGGCGGAUCAGCCCGCUCCCGGUAAAACGGGACGGCCCGCCAGAGGACCCCUAAACUCUGUUUCUAUAUGUAACUUCUGAGUAAAACCAUAAAUAAAUCAAAACUUUCAACAACGGAUCUCUUGGUUCUGGCAUCGAUGAAGAACGCAGCAAAAUGCGAUAAGUAAUGUGAAUUGCAGAAUUCAGUGAAUCAUCGAAUCUUUGAACGCACAUUGCGCCCGCCAGUAUUCUGGCGGGCAUGCCUGUUCGAGCGUCAUUUCAACCCUCAAGCACAGCUUGGUGUUGGGACUCGCGUUAAUUCGCGUUCCUCAAAUUGAUUGGCGGUCACGUCGAGCUUCCAUAGCGUAGUAGUAAAACCCUCGUUACUGGUAAUCGUCGCGGCCACGCCGUUAAACCCCAACUUCUGAAUGUUGACCUCGGAUCAGGUAGGAAUACCCGCUGAACUUAAGCAUAUCAAAA